rnacentral:rRNA from 1 species
UGCCAUCCGCCGCGGUAAUACGAAGGGGGCUAGCGUUGUUCGGAAUUACUGGGCGUAAAGCGCACGUAGGCGGACUUUUAAGUCAGAUGUGAAAUCCCGGGGCUCAACCUCGGAACUGCAUCUGAUACUGGUAGUCUUGAGUUCGAGAGAGGUGAGUGGAAUUCCGAGUGUAGAGGUGAAAUUCGUAGAUAUUCGGAGGAACACCAGUGGCGAAGGCGGCUCACUGGCUCGAUACUGACGCUGAGGUGCGAAAGCGUGGGGAGCAAACAGGAUUAGAUA